GAUUGAGCUGCUCAAUGGAAUUAAGUUGACCAUUACACCUGGAGUGCAACAAAAUACAGGGAGUGGGAGAAGAUAAACUUGGAGGGGAAGAUGAAGGCAUGCUCAUUACAGCUUUUAGGCUGCAGGGUGGAAAUUAGUGUGUAUUCUAGUCACUGGAGAGCAUCUCAACAGGAACAUGCCAUAACCUAAUUUACACUAUAGAAAAACGCUUGGCUUGUGUCUUGCAGAUGACCUGGUUAGAGUCGGUGGUGGGAGCUGGGGAGGUAUUGGGGGAAGGGUGGAGGUAGAGAAACUAGAUAAGAAGCUGUUGCACGUUCCAAACAAGGAUGAGUUAGCUAAGGACUCAGGUGGCAACCACAAAAGUUCUGAGCAGUGAGAUAGGAUCAUGGUAUGAUUGGAAUCAAAAGAACUUAUGGACACACUGAGUGUGAGGGACAGAAUGGAAUUAAGCAUUCUUUCCAGAUUUCAGAGAGACAUGUUCAUUGUGGACCCCACUGGACCCUCAGUUAUAUUUCUUUUUUAUCCAUGUGGUACCUCACACGGUUGAAAUGUCAAUGAAAAAGUGUGAGAAAAUCUAUUAUCCUGUCUCAGAGGGCAAAUCGGUGAAGACAACGUGCAAUUUUAUUGCCCUGCCAGCAAUCUAAAGCCACCUCUCGGGAGGAUGCCAUCCUGGUCCAACAUCAGGUUACAGGGGGACUUGCUAUACUUGAGUGAACUCUUGGAAUUUGAGAACCCAGAUUUGGAGCUUCACAACCAUCCUCCUCCUCCAUGGGGCUUUAUGCAACAAAUAGAAGACACUGAGGAGUGAGGUGCCUCCAAGUCAACACCAUUGAGACUGAAGCCCAUGAAGGGAGCCAAAGGGACUAGAAACAUGUGGGGAAAGUUCUUACAACAUCUUCCUGUUUGUAAGACUUGGACAAUAUAGAGUUGAAUGAGUGAUGCCACCAGGAACACCUGUGUUCUCAGAACCAGUUCCCAUGUUGGUGACUCAUCUUCUGAGGACUGUGAGCCAGUGACUGAGCAGCUGCAGGACAGCAUGGGAUGCCUCUGUGGGCAGUCUGCACCAGAGAACCCCAGUGAGUGGCAAACACUCUGGUAGCUGAACCCCAGUCUGGGGUUCGUCUGCGCCUCCUUCUCCCUCUCUUUUCACAGGUACAGUCUGAGGCUCCUCCCUGCUCCGGCUUCUCCCACACGUGCCCCUGAUGAACCUCUCAUUUGUCCGGGCAUUUGCUCCCCAGAGGACUCAACAAACACCUAAGGCAGAGAUGUUGAGACGUUGCACACCCGAAAAUACCCUCAUUCUAUUAUUUAAAUGGAGUAAUGUUUUCCUCAAGCGUGGAAAUACUGAAUGAAAAUCAUUUUGCCUCAGAAUA